AUGUUGGUGCUUCUUUUCUACAGUUCACUCCUCUCAUUUUCCGUAGGGUUCAGGUCAGAGGACUGGAAUGGCCAUAGCAGAAGCUUUGUUUUGAGCUCAGUGACCCAUUUUUGUGUUGUUUUUGAGGUUUGUGUUUGGAUUAUUGUAUGGUUGGAAGAUCCAAACAUGGCCCAUUAUAAGAGUCAGUCACUUAGUGUUACGGCCAGCACUCAGGCCGCAACAAAACGGAGACCAGACGCGUCACGGCGUAUUAAACACCAGAAAACAGACAUAAACAUAAUCCAAAUAACGGAAGGUAUCAGGGUCGGGCAAGACACUCAGCACGACGUGCAGCGACAAACUCCAUUACGAAGACAAAACGCCCAACUUCCUUCACGAGAAGUCUCCCACAUAUUUCACUCCACAAUCCAACAAGUGUCAGGUGUGUAGCCACGCCCCCUCCAGACAAACCUAAAACACAAACACACACGCACGCACAGCUAGGCUGAGACGUCACACUUAGUGAUUUAUUUUAUUUUUUUUAUCUGUUGGUAUUUGAUAAAAUCCAUGAUGCCAUGUGUCUAAACAAGAUGUCCAGGACCUCCAGUAGAAAUAUAGGCCCACAACAUCAAAAAUACAGCAGUAUUUCAUUGUACACAUGGGGUACUUUUUAUCCCUGUGCUCACCAAACCCAUCUUGAGUGUUUACUGCUAAAAAGCUCAAUUUUUAGUUUCAUCUGACCAUAGAAGCCAGUCCCGUUUGAAGUUCCAGUCAUGUCUGAUAACUGAAUAUGAUGGAGUUUGUUUAUGGAUGAGCUAGGAGAAAUUUUCAUGAAACCCUCCCAAACAACAUGUGGUGAUGUAGGUGCUGUUUGACAAUUUUUUUUAAGGUUUUCUGACCCCGAGACUCAACUUUUUUCCGCAAUUCUCCAGCUGUGGUCCUUGGAGAGUCUUUAGCCACUCAAACUCUCCUUCUCACUGCACAUUAGGAUGAUACAGACACACGUCCUCUUCCAGGCAGAUUUAUAACACUUUCUGUUGAUUGGAAAUUCUUAAUUAUUGCCCUGAUGGUGGAAAUGUGAAUUUUCACUGCUCUAGCUCUUUUCUUAAAGCCACUUCACUAAUUUGUGAAGCUCAAUUAUCUUUUGCUGCACAUCAGAAAUAUAUUAUUUGGUUUUUCUCAUUGUAAUGGAUGAUUGAGGGAAUUUGGGCUUUGUUUUCUCUCCUCUUUAUAUUUCUGUGAAACAGGAAGCCAGAGCUGGAUGAUUUCAUGUUCAUAAUCACGCUGGAGUGCUCAAAAUUGUGAAUAUGAAUGGGAAUAUACUUCUGAGAUAUUUUACUCAUAAGAAUUUCUAGGGGUGCCAAUAAUUGUGAAAACGUGAAACAUUAAUUUCAUAAUGAUAUUUCCCCCCAUUUUAAAUUCUUAUUGUCCAAUGAAAGGUUAGAUUUUUUAAAAUAAAAGAUCAAAGGAUUAACA
ensembl:lncRNA